GACGAACGCUGGCGGCGUGCUUAACACAUGCAAGUCGAACGGAAAGGCCCUGCUUGCAGGGUACUCGAGUGGCGAACGGGUGAGUAACACGUGGGUGAUCUGCCCUGCACUUCGGGAUAAGUCUGGGAAACUGGGUCUAAUACCGGAUAGGAGCCAUUUUUAGUGUGAUGGUUGGAAAGUUUUUUCGGUGUAGGAUGAGCUCGCGGCCUAUCAGCUUGUUGGUGGGGUAAUGGCCUACCAAGGCGGCGACGGGUAGCCGGCCUGAGAGGGUGGACGGCCACAUUGGGACUGAGAUACGGCCCAGACUCCUACGGGAGGCAGCAGUGGGGAAUAUUGCACAAUGGGCGCAAGCCUGAUGCAGCGACGCCGCGUGGGGGAUGACGGCCUUCGGGUUGUAAACUCCUUUCGCUAGGGACGAAGCUUUUUGUGACGGUACCUAGAGAAGAAGCACCGGCUAACUACGUG
rnacentral:rRNA from 1 species